rnacentral:rRNA from 1 species
GACGAACGCUGGCGGCGUGCUUAACACAUGCAAGUCGAACGGAAAGGCCCUGCUUUUGUGGGGUGCUCGAGUGGCGAACGGGUGAGUAACACGUGAGUAACCUGCCCUUGACUUUGGGAUAACUUCAGGAAACUGGGGCUAAUACCGGAUAGGAGCUCCUGCUGCAUGGUGGGGGUUGGAAAGUUUCGGCGGUUGGGGAUGGACUCGCGGCUUAUCAGCUUGUUGGUGGGGUAGUGGCUUACCAAGGCUUUGACGGGUAGCCGGCCUGAGAGGGUGACCGGCCACAUUGGGACUGAGAUACGGCCCAGACUCCUACGGGAGGCAGCAGUGGGGAAUAUUGCACAAUGGGCGGAAGCCUGAUGCAGCAACGCCGCGUGCGGGAUGACGGCCUUCGGGUUGUAAACCGCUUUCGCCUGUGACGAAGCGUGAGUGACGGUAAUGGGUAAAGAAGCACCGGCUAACUACGUGCCAGCAGCCGCGGUGAUACGUAGGGUGCGAGCGUUGUCCGGAUUUAUUGGGCGUAAAGGGCUCGUAGGUGGUUGAUCGCGUCGGAAGUGUAAUCUUGGGGCUUAACCCUGAGCGUGCUUUCGAUACGGGUUGACUUGAGGAAGGUAGGGGAGAAUGGAAUUCCUGGUGGAGCGGUGGAAUGCGCAGAUAUCAGGAGGAAUACCAGUGGCGAAGGCGGUUCUCUGGGCCUUUCCUGACGCUGAGGAGCGAAAGCGUGGGGAGCGAACAGGCUUAGAUACCCUGGUAGUCCACGCUGUAAACGGUGGGUACUAGGUGUGGGGUCCAUUCCACGGGUUCCGUGCCGUAGCUAACGCUUUAAGUACCCCGCCUGGGGAGUACGGCCGCAAGGCUAAAACUCAAAGGAAUUGGCGGGGCCCCGCACAAGCGGCGGAGCAUGCGGAUUAAUUCGAUGCAACGCGUAGAACCUUACCUGGGUUUGACAUGGAUCGGGAGUGCUCAGAGAUGGGUGUGCCUCUUUUGGGGUCGGUUCACAGGUGGUGCAUGGCUGUCGUCAGCUCGUGUCGUGAGAUGUUGGGUUAAGUCCCGCAACGAGCGCAACCCUUGUUCACUGUUGCCAGCACGUUAUGGUGGGGACUCAGUGGAGACCGCCGGGGUCAACUCGGAGGAAGGUGGGGAUGACGUCAAGUCAUCAUGCCCCUUAUGUCCAGGGCUUCACGCAUGCUACAAUGGCUGGUACAGAGAGUGGCGAGCCUGUGAGGGUGAGCGAAUCUCGGAAAGCCGGUCUCAGUUCGGAUUGGGGUCUGCAACUCGACCUCAUGAAGUCGGAGUCGCUAGUAAUCGCAGAUCAGCAACGCUGCGGUGAAUACGUUCCCGGG